UAAGGAAUAUUGCUCAAUGGGAGAAAUCCUGAAGCAGCAACGCCGCGUGGAGGAUGAAGGGUCUAUGACUUGUAAACUCCUGUAAAGAAGGAAAAAAUUCCCAUUAGAUGGGAGAUGAUGGUACUUCUGGAGUAAGCCCCGGCUAACUACGUGCCAGCAGCCGCGGUAAUACGUAGGGGGCAAGCGUUGUCCGGAUUUACUGGGGGUAAAGGGUGCUCAGGCGGAUUUGUAAGUCAGAGGUGAAAUCUUACAGCUUAACUGUGAAACUGCCUUUGAUACUGCAAGCCUAGAGUAUGGAAGAGAGUGAUGGAAUAUCUGGUGUAGCAGUGAAAUGCGUAGAUAUCAGAUAGAACACCGAUGUCGAAGGCAGUCACUUGGUCCAUUACUGACGCUAAAGCACGAAAGCGUGGGUAGCAAACA
rnacentral:rRNA from 1 species